UGCAUUGUUAAGUCAUGUUCUGAGGAAUGCAGGCGUCCAGGGAGGCACAGGCCAGCAGAAGCUGUCGGAGUCCGCCCUGGAGCGGCUUCCCCACCUUUCUUCUCACUCAUCUCCACCAGGCGGGGCUCUCCAAUCUCAAUGAAGAAGGUCUUGUUUUUCUCAUACUCCUCAUCAUCAAUUACCUUGACUGCAAUUGUUUUGCUGAAACAGAGAAGAAUAGAGGUUGGCGAACAGGGGAAGAGACAUGCAGAGGAAUACAGGCAAGAAGAAAGCAAGGUCUGCCCUUGGUGUUAGAAGAUGGCGGCAAGAAAAAGAUGAGCCUGGGGGUUAGAGAGGAGGAAUUCCUUUCCAGAUUCUCAUGCUGAAUGUUUCAAUGAGAACAUCACAGAUUUGGAUGCUUCCCGAGCUCUCCCCGUUAAGAUUUACCCUCAUUUAGGCACACUCGGAGAAGAGCAGAAUCAGGCCCUUUUUAUUUCUUAAUCCAUAGGUCUUUCUGAUGUCCCUAGAAGUAAUUCUUACUACUUACAAUUUACAGAGGAAAUUAGACUCCAAGAAGUUAGUGGCAUCCAACUUUAACUGUUUAUUUCCUGAACUGGCUUCAAGGACCAGCUCCUUUGAAUUAAAUCACCUAAUGCCAAGCACCAGGUCCCAUAGUCAACUAUUCAGUACAUUUAUGACCACAUUAAAUGAUGGAGAUCAUUAGAUUAGAUUAAA